rnacentral:antisense_RNA from 1 species
ACCACAGUUAUUCUCCUAAAAUGCACAGCUGAGGGAAAGAACAGUGUCAGAUGCCCCGCGAACGUGCGGAAGCUCCCAGUUGCAUCACCCCGGCGUGCCAGGUAUUGCAGCAAAUAGGAAAGGAACUUGACAUCAUCAGACAGUAAAUCAAGAGGUACUGACAACUGAGACUGAGUGAUGGUCCCUGCCUAGGAUUUGGAAUCUUUGCAUGAAAUAGGGACUCUAGCCACCAGCGACAAAGAAGUCAGGGAGACUGU